GCCUGGAUGGCUCAGUCGUUUGAGCACCUGACUUCAGCUCAGGUCAUGAUCUCACGGUCUGUGGGUUCAGGCC
rnacentral:tRNA from 1 species